rnacentral:rRNA from 1 species
UACGGAGGGUGCAAGCGUUAAUCGGAAUUACUGGGCGUAAAGCGCACGCAGGCGGUUUGUUAAGUCAGAUGUGAAAUCCCCGCGCUUAACGUGGGAACUGCAUUUGAAACUGGCAAGCUAGAGUCUCGUAGGAGGGGGGUAGAAUUCCAGGUGUAGCGGUGAAAUGCGUAGAGAUCUGGAGGAAUACCGGUGGCGAAGGCGGCCCCCUGGACGAAGACUGACGCUCAGGUGCGAAAGCGUGGGGAGCAAACAGG